CCUACGGGAGGCAGCAGUGAGGAAUAUUGGUCAAUGGACGAGAGUCUGAACCAGCCAAGUAGCGUGAAGGAUGACUGCCCUAUGGGUUGUAAACUUCUUUUAUAAAGGAAUAAAACGAGGCACGUGUGCCUUUUUGUAUGUACUUUAUGAAUAAGGAUAGGCUAACUCCGUGCCAGCCGCCGCGGUAAUACGGAGAAUCCGAGCGUUAUCCGGAUUUGUUGUGUUUAAAGGGAGCGUAGAUGGGUUGUUAAGUCAGUUGUGAAAGUUUGCGGCUCAACCGUAAAAUUGCAAUUGAUACUGGCAGUCUUGAGUACAGUUGAGGUAGGCGGAAUUCGUGGUGUAGCGGUGAAAUGCUUAGAGAUCACGAAGAACUCCGAUUGCGAAGGCAGCUUACUAAACUGCCACUGACAUUGAUGCUCGAAAGUGUGGGUAUCAAACAGGAUUAGAUACCCGUGUAGUC
rnacentral:rRNA from 1 species